rnacentral:rRNA from 1 species
UACGUAGGGUGCGAGCGUUGUCCGGAAUUAUUGGGCGUAAAGGGCUCGUAGGCGGUUUGUCGCGUCGGGAGUGAAAACCUACAGCUUAACUGUGGGCUUGCUUUCGAUACGGGCAGACUAGAGGUAUGCAGGGGAGAACGGAAUUCCUGGUGUAGCGGUGAAAUGCGCAGAUAUCAGGAGGAACACCGGUGGCGAAGGCGGGUCUCUGGGCAGUAACUGACGCUGAGGAGCGAAAGCGUGGGGAGCGAACAGG